CUUGGUCAUUUAGAGGAAGUAAAAGUCGUAACAAGGUUUCCGUAGGUGAACCUGCGGAAGGAUCAUUACAAGUGAGGCUACCGAACGUUGGAAACAGCGGUUAGGAGCUUACACCCACCCGUGUUUACAUACUAUUGUUGCUUUGGCGGGCCGUGGCCUCCACUGCGGGCUCUGCUCGUGUGUGCCCGCCAGAGAACCAAACUCUGAAUGUUAGUGAUGUCUGAGUACUAUCUAAUAGUUAAAACUUUCAACAACGGAUCUCUUGGUUCUGGCAUCGAUGAAGAACGCAGCGAAAUGCGAUAAGUAAUGUGAAUUGCAGAAUUCAGUGAAUCAUCGAAUCUUUGAACGCACAUUGCGCCCUGUGGUAUUCCGCAGGGCAUGCCUGUUCGAGCGUCAUUUAACCACUCACGCCUAGCGUGGUAUUGGGGCACGCGGUCUCCGCGGCCCUCAAAAUCAGUGGCGGCGCCGGUGGGCUCUAAGCGUAGUACAUACUCCCGCUAUAGAGUUCCCCCCGGUGGCUCGCCAGAGCCCCCAAUUUUUUACAGGUUGACCUCGGAUCAGGUAGGGAUACCCGCUGAACUUAAGCAUAUCAAUAAGCGGAGGA
rnacentral:rRNA from 1 species